AGGCAGGGCUUUCCUGCCCUUCCUUAAAUCGUUCCUUCGGGAAC
rfam:Marine metagenome ctg_1101668664162, whole genome shotgun sequence.